GAUGAACGCUGGCGGCGUGCCUAAUACAUGCAAGUCGAACGCUGGAAAUCUAGCUUGCUAGAUUGAAGGAGUGGCGAACGGGUGAGUAAUACAUAAGCAACCUACCCACGAAGACUGGGAUAAUCUCUGGAAACGGGGACUAAUAUCGGAUAGGUAAUCGGAAGGCAUCUUCUGAUUAUUAAAGGUUAAAAACACUGGUGGAUGGGCUUAUGGCGCAUUAGUUAGUUGGUGAGGUAACGGCCCACCAAGACGAUGAUUCGUAGCCGGCCUGAGAGGGUGAACGACGACAUUGGGACUGAGACACGGCCCAGACUCCUACGGGAGGCAGCAGUAGGGAAUGGUCGGCAAUGGAGGAAAACCUGACCGAGCAACGCCGCGUGAGUGAUGACGGCCUUCGGGUUGUAAAGCUCUGUUGUAAGGGAAGAACGGUAGAUAGAGAAUAUCUGAAUGACGGUACCUUACCAGAAAGCCACGGCUAACUACGUG
rnacentral:rRNA from 1 species